ACGAACGCUGGCGGCGCGCCUAACACAUGCAAGUCGAACGAGCGAGAGAGAGCUUGCUUUCUCGAGCGAGUGGCGAACGGGUGAGUAACGCGUGAGGAACCUGCCUCAAAGAGGGGGACAACAGUUGGAAACGACUGCUAAUACCGCAUAAGCCCACGGCUCGGCAUCGAGCAGGGGGAAAAGGAGCAAUCCGCUUUGAGAUGGCCUCGCGUCCGAUUAGCUAGUUGGUGAGGUAACGGCCCACCAAGGCGACGAUCGGUAGCCGGACUGAGAGGUUGAACGGCCACAUUGGGACUGAGACACGGCCCAGACUCCUACGGGAGGCAGCAGUGGGGAAUAUUGCACAAUGGGGGAAACCCUGAUGCAGCGACGCCGCCUGGAGGAAGAAGGUCUUCGGAUUGUAAACUCCUGUUGUUGGGGAAGAUAAUGACGGUACCCAACAAGGAAGUGACGGCUAACUACGUG
rnacentral:rRNA from 1 species